UCUUUGCAUAUUGAUAUUUUAGUUAUGUCUGUCUCUUAAUAGGGAAUGGGACGUACUACGUCAUUGUUUGGACCCGCCUCCAUGCUGGCAAUAUAAUUCACUUCCGGGCCGGCAGAGUCAAUGCGGAUUGUAACGUGUGAUAGUGCUAAGCUAACUCUUUCGGUGUUUUAGAAAGAAAAUAUGGGUGCUUUAUUGUUGCGUUACCGGGUGCAACAGCGUCUCCUACGACAAAAAAAGGGGUGAGGAAAAAUGGACUCACUUUUCACCGUUUUCCUGCAUGGAGGACCAAAUAUCAGAUCACGAAGGUACGACGGAUGGCUGGAUUGCAGCGGUUCGUCGGAAAAGCAUUUCUUAUGAUCAUAUUUCUGCUGGAAUGAGAGUGUGUUCCUGUCAUCUCUACUCUUGUAAACCUGCUGACAACACAUCCCGAUUGGUCACCAUCUCUCUUCUUGGAUCAUUUGACAAAGAAAAUUUGUUCAAUGGAGUGGUUCCAUUUGUCCUGUGUCGGACUCAAACAAGCCCCUGCAGCAGACGCCAUCUGGGUCUGCCCUUCUCGUCGAUGAACUGCGGGCUUUUAACUUGUGAAAAUGCAAGAACUUUAAUGCACAUAUUUAUUCUGCCUGGCUAUUUAACUAUGGCCAGUGACGUUUUUUUUUUUUUUUUUUUUUUUAACCACUUUGACAAA